rnacentral:rRNA from 1 species
AGGCUUUGAUCCUGGCUCAGGAUGAACGCUGGCGGCGUGCUUAACACAUGCAAGUCGAACGAACCUUCGGGUUAGUGGCGGACGGGUGAGUAACGCGUGAGAAUCUGCCCUCAGGAGGGGGAUAACGGCUGGAAACGGCCGCUAAUACCCCAUAUGCCGAGAGGUGAAACGAGUUUUCGCCUGAGGAUGAGUUCGCGUCUGAUUAGCUAGUUGGUGGGGUAAGAGCUUACCAAGGCAUCGAUCAGUAGCUGGUCUGAGAGGAUGAUCAGCCACACUGGGACUGAGACACGGCCCAGACUCCUACGGGAGGCAGCAGUGGGGAAUUUUCCGCAAUGGGCGAAAGCCUGACGGAGCAACGCCGCGUGAGGGACGAAGGCCUCUGGGCUGUAAACCUCUUUUCUCAAGGAAGAAGAUCUGACGGUACUUGAGGAAUAAGCCACGG